AUUGAACGCUGGCGGCAUGCCUUACACAUGCAAGUCGAACGGUAACAGGUCUUCGGAUGCUGACGAGUGGCGAACGGGUGAGUAAUACAUCGGAACGUGCCCGAUCGUGGGGGAUAACGGAGCGAAAGCUUUGCUAAUACCGCAUACGAUCUACGGAUGAAAGCAGGGGACCGCAAGGCCUUGCGCGGACGGAGCGGCCGAUGGCAGAUUAGGUAGUUGGUGGGAUAAAAGCUUACCAAGCCGACGAUCUGUAGCUGGUCUGAGAGGACGACCAGCCACACUGGGACUGAGACACGGCUCAGACGCCUACGGGAGGCAGCAGUGGGGAAUUUUGGACAAUGGGCGAAAGCCUGAUCCAGCCAUGCCGCGUGCAGGAUGAAGGCCUUCGGGUUGUAAACUGCUUUUGUACGGAACGAAAAGCCUCUUUCUAAUAAAGAGAGGUCAUGACGGUACCGUAAGAAUAAGCACCGGCUAACCACGUGCCAGCCGCCGCAGUAAGAC
rnacentral:rRNA from 1 species